GAUGAACGCUGGCGGCGUGCCUAACACAUGCAAGUCGAGCGAAGCGCUUAAAUUAGAUUUCUUCGGAAUGACGAUUUUUGUGGCUGAGCGGCGGACGGGUGAGUAACGCGUGGGUAACCUGCCUCAUACAGGGGGAUAACAGUUAGAAAUGACUGCUAAUACCGCAUAAGACCCCAGCUUCGCAUGAAGCGGUGGUAAAAACUCCGGUGGUAUGAGAUGGACCCGCGUCUGAUUAGCUAGUUGGUAAGGUAACGGCUUACCAAGGCGACGAUCAGUAGCCGACCUGAGAGGGUGACCGGCCACAUUGGGACUGAGACACGGCCCAGACUCCUACGGGAGGCAGCAGUGGGGAAUAUUGCACAAUGGGGGAAACCCUGAUGCAGCGACGCCGCGUGAAGGAUGAAGUAUUUCGGUAUGUAAACUUCUAUCAGCAGGGAAGAAAGUGACGGUACCUGACUAAGAAGCCCCGGCUAACUACGUG
rnacentral:rRNA from 1 species